GUUAUAUACAAAUCCCACAACUUUGUGUUUUCCAGCUUCGAGCAAUGCUUAUGAAAUGGACAAAGGCACUUCACAGAAUUUUCUGGGUUAUAUUGCAGCAAAGACACUUUUACCGUCAAUAGGGAUGAGAAUAGCACUUGAAUAUUCACAUGCACGGAGUUCAAGACAAUUGUGAAGACAAUCAGAGAGAAGAUGCCUUCUGCCCAACGAGGAGAGUACAGGGACCCAUUCCUCUGCUGUGUUCCUCACUUUGGACAUCAUCUUGUGUUGCCUGCUGAACAACCAGAAACCAGAGUCACUAAUCCCCCUCAUUGCUAGAGUCCAGAUGCUGGCUCAUAGGCUGUCCACAGG
rnacentral:lncRNA from 1 species